UGCAGUCGAACGAUGAAGCCGGGUGCUUGCACCGGGUGGAUUAGUGGCGAACGGGUGAGUAUCACGUGAGUAACCUGCCCUUGACUCUGGGAUAAGCCUGGGAAACUGGGUCUAAUACCGGAUAUGACCAGUCCUCGCAUGGGGUGCUGGUGGAAAGAUUUAUCGGUCUUGGAUGGACUCGCGGCCUAUCAGUUUGUUGGUGAGGUAAUGGCUCACCAAGGCGAUGACGGGUAGCCGGCCUGAGAGGGUGACCGGCCACACUGGGACUGAGACACGGCCCAGACUCCUACGGGAGGCAGCAGUGGGGAAUAUUGCACAAUGGGCGCAAGCCUGAUGCAGCGACGCCGCGUGCGGGAUGACGGCCUUCGGGUUGUAAACCGCUUUCAGCAGGGAAGAAGCUUUUUGUGACGGUACCUGCAGAAGAAGCGCCGGCUAACUACGUGCCAGCAGCCGCGGUAAUACGUAGGGCGCGAGCGUUAUCCGGAAUUAUUGGGCGUAAAGGGCUCGCAGGCGGUUUGCCACGUCUGCUGUGAAAGCCCGGGGCUUAACUCCGGGUGUGCAGUGGGUACGGGUAGACUAGAGUGCAGUAGGGGAGACUGGAAUUCCUGGUGUAGCGGUGAAAUGCGCAGAUAUCAGGAAGAACACCGAUGGCGAAGGCAGGUCUCUGGGCUGUUACUGACGCUGAGGAGCGAAAGCAUGGGGAGCGAACAGGAUUAGAUACCCUGGUAGUCCAUGCCGUAAACGUUGGGCACUAGGUGUGGGGGACAUUCCACGUUUUUCCGCGCCGUAGCUAACGCAUUAAGUGCCCCGCCUGGGGAGUACGGCCGCAAGGCUAAAACUCAAAGGAAUUGACGGGGGCCCGCACAAGCGGCGGAGCAUGCGGAUUAAUUCGAUGCAACGCGAAGAACCUUACCAAGGCUUGACAUGGACCGGAUCGCUGCAGAGAUGUAGUUUCCCUUCGGGGCUGGUUCACAGUGGUGCAUGGUUGUCGUCAGCUCGUGUCGUGAGAUGUUGGGUUAAGUCCCGCACGAGCGCAACCCUUGUCCUAUGUUGCAGCACGUGAU
rnacentral:rRNA from 1 species